UAGCGGCUAGAAGACAGAAUUCCUGAUGUGGCGAGGAUGCUACCAUUAUGAGAAAAACUACAUCACCAGAAAGGAAGUUCUACCAUGUCACGAAGACACACACUGCAAGAGAAGAUGUCUUGUGUGAAGAUACUGAAACUGGAGUGGCUGAAUGGACAGAAGACUCUGGUAACUGAACAGCACGAAACUGAAAGUACAUUUGGAAUUGAAGCGGGCAAAUGAUAAUAAAUUGUUUGCCAUAAUUAUAUUAUCUUUCAAUAUCAGCAAUGAAUUUAGCAUAUCACAGUGAGAUUUAAUGGAAUGAAAAUUAAUCCAAAAGUAACAAAAUGUUUGCAUUCUUGUUCCACUGAGAUCAACAGGAUGAGUAAAUAUGCUUUGAA